UCAGAGAAAGGGGCCAGGUGGGGAAAGAGGAUGGUUAGUUUACAUGUAAGACCCUGCGUCUGUGUGAAGCAGAACUAACAUCAACUUUGCAUAUGGCUAUCAUACUUUGCAUAUCAACUACCAAAUGCCUCUCCAGGAAAAGAUUUCACAGCAAUAAAGUUCAAAGUUCAAUUGAGUGAGUCACUUGGCACUGACUUGCUUCGUUGCUUCCAUUGUGAGCUAGCAAGGUUCUGUUUCUCGUGCUUAGCUAGUAAACCUAUUUAGUUGUGCUCAGUUCUUAACUGACAAGAAAUCUCAAGUAUGCUCUUGCGCUGUUCCCGAAAGAAAUGAGUUCAGUGCAUCUGACCCAUCUGACUACACAAUAGGGUUGACCUCUGCCCAGAGGUCGGAGAGCCAUCAGAGGAAAGAGGAAAGACGUAUAAUAACUUAGUACGAAGGAAAGGAGUCUAAUAACUUGGUACGAAGGAAAGGAGUCGAAUAACUUGGUACGAAGGAAAGGAGUCUAAUAACUUGGUACGAAGGAAAGGAGUCUAAUAACUUGGUACGAAGGAAAGGAGUCUAAUAACUUGGUACGAAGGAAAGGAGUCGAAUAACUUGACUUCCCAUUGGGGCUCACAGAUUACUCCAUUGCUUUAACCUGGACAAAUUACCUGGACAAUCACCACCUAACCUAUCAACGGGAUUGAGGGGCAAAGAGGAGGGGUAUAAGAAGAGGAAGCUGUAGAAUUACUGGGUGCCCGGUGGGGACCGCGAA